UGAAACGUGAAGCUGGGACAAUGAAGUGUCUGUUCUGCUUCUUUGUGCAAAUGCUGCAACUGUAAGAGAAAGAGAAGACCUUUCUAGAAGCAGCAGAUGAGUUGUAAUACAGGAAUCAGAUCAGAACCAGCUCAGACCUCUUGAUGACGGAAGUUCCACUACAAGCUAAAAUGUUUCCUUAGCCUCAAAGAGGGGAACUUUACGAUGAAGGAAUCUCUGAGCUUCUCCCUCUCCCCCAGGGUGCAUCCAUAGCAACUCUGCAGAAUGAACACACCGAGUCGAAAGCUAAAUGCAGAAGAAAACCCAUUUCCUUCCAAAUUUCCACUCCCACGGGCAGUUACUGAUCACAGCCCGGCGAUGAUGUGCCGUGGACCGAAAGAGCACAGGAGAUGGUUCUCUGCUAUCCUGCUCAGACACAGCAAAGAAAACAGGAACAAAGAGAGCUCCUUCACUGCACUGCAGUUUGGAUCGGCUCCAGCAGACUCGUAAGCAGGAGACAGACUGCAAAGACACAGACAUGUAAUUUUAGAACAGAUCCAGAUAUUGUCGCUUUCACUGGCAUUGUGUGCAGGCACAAACCUGUGUUUUCAGACUGAUGUCUUUGUAAAAUGCCCUGUGAAGAGUCUCCUGACAUCAGGAAGCGAAUUGCCACAUCUUCCUCUGGAUCAUUCAGAGCAGGACAAGCAAGCCCAAGCAUGUUGGUGGUAGAAGCACAGCUUUUAAAACAAAGCUGUGUCUCCUGUGUGCUGCAGUCAAAAAACGUUUUAAACAGGCAGGGGGACAAAUAAGUAUUGCCCAAUUUCCCUAUUUUUUUUACAAGUCCAGCUAGUUCUUUUUGUGAAGUUUUCUGCUCCUGAAUUUGAAGCUUAUUAAAAACUUUGUUUAUUUAAGUUAUUCUUAGCAUAAGGCUUAGAAAAACAAAACAAAACUCAGCGAGUUGUCUUUUUUUGGUAAUGUCAUAACAUCUUACAGUACUUUGAAUUGUGACUUGUUAUUUCUGCAACCCUUGAGCUUGGCUGUACAAGGACAAGCAGUAACACGGCACAGCUCUAUUUGUCUUGUGACCGGGCCUUAUUGCAGCAUUGCAGGUUUGGGCAGAAAAUAUCUCCACAAGCAUAAAUAGAUAAACAUAAUUAUCCUGUGUCAUAUACAGUAAGAUAAACCUGAGAUAUGUGUGAGUAAUUCUAAGAGGUAGGACAAUAUACUGUUUUUCCGUAUGGCAAGUAGCCCAUUUUUAUCUGGACAAAGGAAAAGUACUGAUCUCGCUGUGCAUACACGAAUCCUCUGAUUGUCCAGCUGCCCCAAGUUAAACUUUUGUAACUAAAGAUAAACUGAUUGCUUCAUUUGACAUUGCUCAUGUGCAAAUGCUAUGCUGUUGCUAAGAUGGUAGCGCACACAAAAACAGACACCGCGUUCUAGAAUGUUCAGAUUCAUUGGAAACAUUUCUUUGACCCCAAGUUUUUCUCUUCUGAAAGCAGGUUACUUUGUACUGCUGCCUAAUGACCUACUUCUGAAAUUGCUGGCAAGAAACACGUGUCCCCAGCAGCAGGCUCUGCACCCUGGCAAAGGCUGGAACCACCUGUGCACUCAGUCCAGUCACAAGAUACGGCGUUCUGUAUUUUCAGGUUUGCAUUUAUUUAUACACAGUCCACAGUCAGUGGCUUAUUCACCUAGAGCUACUGGAGGAAGGGCAGUAUACAUACUAAAUACUUAGAUAUAUUUAACUAGAAAGCGAACAACUGCUUUCGUAAACAGUUUAGUCACAGGCUUUGCCAAUACUUUGUUUGUUUGUUUUUUAAAGGGAGGGCUCUGGCAUUUUCUGGAAGUGCUGAAAUCCUUAAUGCAAGCCCAAAACACUCGGGCUAGGCUUUAGAUUACUUUAUGGUAAAUCUCCAGUUUAGCAGCAACGGCCUUUCACAUUUGUAAAUAUUAUUUCUAGUUUCUCAUGGCUUUCCUCUCAGAGCUCCUUGUUUAGCUGCCUUGGCUCUAACAUCUACUGCUUUGGCACUGCGCACGCAGAAUGAACCUAUUGGAAACAGUGAGCAAAGUUGGCAGUGUUAAGGAAAUGCAUGUAAUAUUGCUUAAAUCCGCCCUUUGUCCUAAAUCUGCAUAGCUGAAUAGUAUCUCAGAGGUUGGUGACUGCCCCAGAACAGUCUCUGAGCUUUCCAGUUACUCUUUUCCUCCCUUCCUGCCUACAUUCUGAAUAACUGCUGGAAAGAUUUAUUUCCUUUUUACUGUAAACCACAAAGUGCUGAGCAGACGCGGGCCUUGCUAAAAGAAAUGAAACCAGAGGUUUUUCUUUUUAACUGAGGGAAAUACAGCUCAUGGCUCUGUGUUAAAUCCUGCUAUUCACAGCACGCCCAUGCUUCCUGAGCACAGGAUUUACCAGCAAGUUCAUCUGCAUUCACCGAGCAGCAAAUGAAACAGCAUGAAAACCUUUUUGGAUUUUGCAUUCUCUGAUUACGACACAAGAGCCAGUCCAAAAGGUAUAAUGAACUUCAAUUAACACCAAGCACACUGCCACGUUGGCUCACAGCAGGAAGCUGCUCUGUGACCUGCUCAGGGCUUCCUGUUCCGACAGCAGCUAACAGCCCUUUCAGCAGCAGAGCUCUCAGCACUGAGGAGCUGCCAUGCAGGGCAGGCUGAGGGCGGCUCAGGAUUCAGGAGAGAGCAGAGCCAGCGUGACACAGCAGCAGCUGCUAACGCUCGCCGGCUUUCUGUGUAACGUUUUCCAGCUCUUCUAAUACACAUUUCUGCUCUUCCUGGCUUUUCCUUACAGCCACACACAAUAGGAGCGGCCCCAGCUAUUCCGGUCCCAGAAAUGAGCCGUGAUGCUGUGGUUACAGGGUUCCUUUUGCUCCUUUCUCCCUGCCCUAAGCAAUAGCUGCCAAAAAGAUACGGAGUAAACACAACGCACCCAUCGCCACAGGGCCUGCGCGCCCUCCAUUUUCCUGCUCUCUCCCCCCCUCCCCCCCCCAAUCGAAAUCUGCCCCCGCAGAACAGGGCCGCCCUAGCAACAGGGCUGACCUCACCGCGCACCAAUCAGAACGCUGCAGCGCUCGAAUGUUCCAGAGCUUUCUUUACAACGACCUCUCCCUAUCAGCCAAUCAGCAGCCACCUUUCUUACUGCUACACCAAUCAAUGCCGACCUUGCAGCCGUUUGGAGUAGCCGUUUCACCGCAGCUCCAGAUCCCUCCGCACCCUCCGAAAUUCGGGGAUUUUUAAGGGUCUCAACUCUCUGCCGAAGACAUCAGGGACCCCCUUUGCUCUUGGAAGAGGGAUUGGAGAG